CGUUUCUGUUCUUUUCGUUUGGUCUGGGUACUUGUAGUUUUCUUAUGGUAGAGUUUGAGUCCUGGCUCAGGACGAACGCUGGCGGCGUGCUUAACACAUGCAAGUCGAACGCUGAAGCCUGCAGCUUGCUGUGGGUGGAUGAGUGGCGAACGGGUGAGUAACACGUGAGUAACCUGCCCCUGACUCUGGGAUAAGCCCGGGAAACUGGGUCUAAUACCGGAUAUGACCAUUCUCCGCAUGGAGUGGUGGUGGAAAGAUGGUUUCGGCUAUCACUUACAGAUGGGCCCGCGGCGCAUUAGCUAGUUGGUGAGGUAACGGCUCACCAAGGCGACGAUGCGUAGCCGACCUGAGAGGGUGAUCGGCCACACUGGGACUGAGACACGGCCCAGACUCCUACGGGAGGCAGCAGUAGGGAAUCUUCCACAAUGGACGAAAGUCUGAUGGAGCAACGCCGCGUGAGCGAUGAAGGCCUUCGGGUCGUAAAGCUCUGUUGUUAGGGAAGAACAAGUGCGAGAGUAACUGCUCG
rnacentral:rRNA from 1 species